GACGAACGCUGGCGGCGUGCUUAACACAUGCAAGUCGAACGCUGAACCCGCUUCGGUGGGGGAUGAGUGGCGAACGGGUGAGUAACACGUGGGCAACCUGCCCCCGGCUCUGGGAUAACUCCAAGAAAUUGGGGCUAAUACCGGAUGUGACCGCUGGCCGCAUGGUCUGGUGGUGGAAAGGGUUUCCGGCUGGGGGUGGGCCCGGGGCCUAUCAGCUUGUUGGUGGGGUAGUGGCCUACCAAGGCGACGACGGGUAGCCGGCCUGAGAGGGUGACCGGCCACACGGGGACUGAGACAGGGCCCAGACUCCAACGGGAGGCAGCAGUGGGGAAUAUUGCGGAAUGGGCGGAAGCCUGACGAAGCGACGCCGGGUGGGGGAUGACGGCCUUCGGGUUGUAAACCUCUUUCAGCAGGGACGAAGCGCGAGUGACGGUACCUGCAGAAGAAGCACCGGCCAACUACGUG
rnacentral:rRNA from 1 species